AUUGAACGCUGGCGCAUGCUUUACACAUGCAAGUCGAACGGCAGCGGGGGCUUCGGCCUGCCGGCGAGUGGCGAACGGGUGAGUAAUGCAUCGGAACGUGCCCAUGUCGUGGGGGAUAACGUAGCGAAAGUUACGCUAAUACCGCAUACGCACUGAGGUGGAAAGCAGGGGAUCGAAAGACCUUGCGCCAUACGAGCGGCCGAUGUCAGAUUAGCUAGUUGGUAGGGUAAAGGCCUACCAAGGCGACGAUCUGUAGCGGGUCUGAGAGGAUGACCAGCCACAUUGGGACUGAGACACGGCCCAAACUCCUACGGGAGGCAGCAGUGGGGAAUCUUGCGCAAUGGGCGAAAGCCUGACGCAGCCAUGCCGCGUGUAUGAUGAAGGUCUUAGGAUUGUAAAAUACUUUCACCGGUGAAGAUAAUGACUGUAGCCGGAGAAGAAGCCCCGGCUAACUUCGUG
rnacentral:rRNA from 1 species